ensembl:lincRNA 4930429D17Rik RIKEN cDNA 4930429D17 gene
ACACCAACAUAAUGGACAGGACUACUCAGCUCAUCACAAGGACAAUUCCAACCACAUCCAAUCAGGUCUCAAAUUUCUGAGGUGAGGGUCCACAGAAAGAGAACUGAUGUCUGCCAGUGGAAAAGAAUGACGCUAAUGAAGAUACAAAUGGAAGUUCAGAACCACCAUAAAGCAUGCUAGCAAAUCACAAAAAGACCGGGGGUUGGCAGCAAGGAACAGGCAGGGCAGCUGCUGGUAUGACGUCAGCAGCGGGAGCGGGACCUACCAGCCCCUACAGUGCAGAUGAGGUUCUCAGUGUUGACAGCGGCCAGGGCCUUUGCGAACAAGCCAGGCCAGAAAGAUGUCAUCUGCUGUCAAUGAAAGAGAAAGUACAGGAAAAAAACAAAAAACAACAAGAAGUCAUUUGAAGCCUUCUGGAAUUUUCACUAGUAUCAACAGGUGGAUUUCACCUCUCAGCCUUCUUCUACCUGUCGAAAUUCAGAUGCAGCUUUUAAAACAUCUUGGCUGGCAUCUGCGGGAGACAUCUUGGUUCCCGGACUCCACUGAGACUAGUCUGCACAGGUAUAAAAGCAGUAUCCAGUGCUCAGUGACUAGAAGAUAGUUCUCUACAGAAUGUUCAAGGACACCACAGUGAAUUUGAAGAUGGACAGAGUUAGUCAUUCAACUAAUUUUUAUAUGUAAUGUAUCCGUGUUGUUCAAGCACCAAUGACCCGCUAGUAAACAGAGCAUUGUUUCAUCACACAUUUCACUGUGGGGAGUAGAAGAUGAACACACUAAUGUUUAACAUGCCAGAGUUAACAUGCUUGCAUUGGUUGAUACUGUCAGCCUGAUAGGAGAGAGAUGCAAGCCUCUGGGCGGGUGGGAGGGAUUCUCUAUACCAAGUUAGUUCAGGUGGGAAGACAUACUAUAAAUAUGGGGAGCAACAGCCUUUGGGCUGGGUCCUGGAAUGUAUAAAGACCUGCGUCUCUCACCUUCUGACAGCUGUAGCCAUUUUGUUCCAUGCAUGCCUGCUAUUUUGUAUUGUUGCUGUACUAUGCCCGCCAGUCAUCGAUACAGAAAAAUAACUUGACUCAGAGCAGGGCCAUGCUGACCACAUACCCUGUUAUGUCCUGCACAUUCUGAGGUUUGUUAAUCUUAAGAAAUUUGACAACCAUAAACUUCACUUAGGGCUGGUCAGAAAAAAAGGUCAAUUAGAACUGUUCUGUCUAGUUAGCCAAAAAAGCUUGAGUCAAGAGCUGACCACUAGGCAGCACUUCCUGCACCUGCACGUGAGCUCAUUGUGGUUUUAUCACUUAUAAGCCAGCUCUGAGAAAUGUUCAAGCUUGUUUCAGCAGCCGAAUUCUGAGCUAUGGCCCUGAUUGAUAGAUCUUAGGUUGUGCAUUCUAUAAACCGUCCCUGUUUCGCUAAGAUGGUUGCAUGGUUUGUGGUGUGACUCCUGGACCUGCAACAGAAUGAUUAAAAUCGAGAAAGCAAACUGAGAGCUUGCAAACAUCUAUCUCCCUUCUUCCUGACUAUGCAUACAUACAUGAGACCAGGUGCCUCAUACCCUUGCUGCUGUGAUUUUCCCACUAUGAUGCUGCUGCACUCCCCAACUGUGAAUGGAAAUGAACCUUUCCCUCU